rnacentral:rRNA from 1 species
GACGAACGCUGGCGGCGUGCUUAACACAUGCAAGUCGAACGGAGUGGCGAACGGGUGAGUAACACGUGGGUCACCUGCCCUGCACUUCGGGAUAAGCCUGGGAAACCGGGACUAAUACCGGAUAGUGGGGGAUGGGCCCGCGGCCUAUCAGCUUGUUGGUGGGGUAAUGGCCUACCAAGGGGGCGACUGGUAGCCGGCCUGAGAGGGUGGACGGCCACAUUGGGACUGAGGCACGGCCCAGACGCCUACGGGAGGCAGCGGUCGGGAAUAUUGUCCAAUAGGGGGAAGCCUGAUGCAGCGAUGCUGGGUGGGGGAUGACGUCCUUCGUGUUAUGAACUCCUUUCACUAUCGACGCGGUAGAUGCAGAAGAAGCACCGGCUAACUACGUGCCAGCAGCCGCGGUAAUUC